AUCAUUCGGUGGUGCUGCUGCUGCUGCUGCUGGUGGUGGUGUAUUUUUCAUGGAAUACAAGAUCGCCCCUAUCAUCAUCAUCAUCAUCAUCAUAAUCA
rnacentral:miRNA from 1 species